rnacentral:rRNA from 1 species
UACGGAGGGAGCUAGCGUUAUUCGGAAUUACUGGGCGUAAAGCGCACGUAGGCGGCUUUGUAAGUAAGAGGUGAAAGCCCAGAGCUCAACUCUGGAAUUGCCUUUAGACUGCAUCGCUUGAAUCAUGGAGAGGUCAGUGGAAUUCCGAGUGUAGAGGUGAAAUUCGUAGAUAUUCGGAAGAACACCAGUGGCGAAGGCGGCUGACUGGACAUGUAUUGACGCUGAGGUGCGAAAGCGUGGGAGCAAACAGG